rnacentral:rRNA from 2 species
GGGAAAAAAGCACGAAGUCUGACGGAGCACGCCGCGUGAACGAAGAAGGCCUUCGGGUCGUAAAGUUCUGUUGUUAGGGAAGAACAAGUACCAGAGUAACUGCUGGUACCUUGACGGUACCUAACCAGAAAGCCACGGCUAACUACGUGCCAGCAGCCGCGGUAAUACGUAGGUGGCAAGCGUUGUCCGGAAUUAUUGGGCGUAAAGCGCGCGCAGGUGGUUCYUUAAGUCUGAUGUGAAAGCCCACGGCUCAACCGUGGAGGGUCAUUGGAAACUGGGGAACUUGAGUGCAGAAGAGGAAAGUGGAAUUCCAAGUGUAGCGGUGAAAUGCGUAGAGAUUUGGAGGAACACCAGUGGCGAAGGCGACUUUCUGGUCUGUAACUGACACUGAGGCGCGAAAGCGUGGGGAGCAAACAGGAUUAGAUACCCUGGUAGUCCACGCCGUAAACGAUGAGUGCUAAGUGUUAGAGGGUUUCCGCCCUUUAGUGCUGCAGCUAACGCAUUAAGCACUCCGCCUGGGGAGUACGGCCGCAAGGCUGAAACUCAAAGGAAUUGACG